UACGGAGGGAGCUAGCGUUGUUCGGAAUUACUGGGCGUAAAGCGCGCGUAGGCGGCUUUGUAAGUUAGAGGUGAAAGCCCGGGGCUCAACCCCGGAAUUGCCUUUAAGACUGCAUCGCUUGAAUCCGGGAGAGGUGAGUGGAAUUCCGAGUGUAGAGGUGAAAUUCGUAGAUAUUCGGAAGAAUACCAGUGGCGAAGGCGGCUCACUGGACCGGCAUUGACGCUGAGGUGCGAAAGCGUGGGGAGCAAACAGG
rnacentral:rRNA from 1 species